rnacentral:rRNA from 1 species
CGGUGGAGCAUGUGGUUUAAUUCGAAGCAACGCGAAGAACCUUACCAGGGCUUGACAUGCAGGUAGUAGCGAGCCGAAAGGUGAGCGACCCUACCGGUAAGGUAGGGAGCCUGCACAGGUGGUGCAUGGUUGUCGUCAGCUCGUGUCGUGAGAUGUUGGGUUAAGUCCCGCAACGAGCGCAACCCCUGCCUCUAGUUGCCAUCGGGUAAAGCCGGGCACUCUAGAGGGACUGCCGUCGACAAGACGGAGGAAGGUGGGGAUGACGUCAAAUCAUCAUGCCCUAUAUGCCCUGGGCCACACGCGUGCUACAAUGGCCGGUACAGAGGGAAGCGAAGGAGCGAUCCGGAGCGAAUCCCAAAAAGCCGGUCUCAGUUCGGAUUGCAGGCUGCAACUCGCCUGCAUGAAGGCGGAAUCGCUAGUAAUCGCGGAUCAGCAUGCCGCGGUGAAUGCGUUCCCGGGCCUU